rnacentral:tRNA from 1 species
GUGGCCGUAGCUCAAUGGCAGAGCUGUGGGCUGUGAUCCCGCGGGUGCCGGUUCGACUCCGGCCGGCCACCCCC